GCCAGUAUAUCUCUGAGGGGACAGACUUGAAGAUAGAUUAAUUGACCUCUUUACGGGACCAAAGCUUUUUUAGCGAUGAAUUUUUGUCUAAUGGUCGCAAUCCUUCUUUGCAUUCCGACUGCAGAUUCAGUUUUAGGCCGAGCUGUUUGUGGAACUCAACCAUACAAUCCUGGUUAUCAAAUAUGCUGCAAUGGAGUAAUUAAUGGGAAAGG